GGAUGUGGGGGUGAUCUGGCUGUGAUAUCUGUCACCACAUUGAUCACCAGGGUUGAUCUGGCUGAUCUGGCCGGCUAGGCGGGUGUCCCCUUCCUCACUCACAGCUCCAUGUGUGUCCCUCCCGAAGCUGCGCGCUCAGUUGAAGAGGACGGCCUUCCCCAAUAGAGAAGGCCCGGUCUUCAGUCGAGUGUAUCCGAGUAGCUGCGCUCCCCUGCUAGAACCUCCAAACAAGCUCUCAUAAGUCUAAUUCCAUACCAUAGCCUGGGAAAAACACUACUUAGCCACUUCCACAGUUCUACAUUUGU
ensembl:misc_RNA 7SK 7SK RNA